rnacentral:rRNA from 1 species
UACGGAGGGUGCAAGCGUUGUCCGGAUUUAUUGGGUUUAAAGGGUGCGUAGGCGGCCCGUUAAGUCAGCGGUGAAAUCCCGGGGCUCAACCCUGGAACUGCCGUUGAUACUGGCGGGCUUGAGUUCGGUCGAGGCGGGCGGAACUGGUGGUGUAGCGGUGAAAUGCAUAGAUACCACCAAGAACCCCGAUUGCGUAGGCAGCUCGCUAGGCCGAAACUGACGCUGAGGCACGAAAGCGUGGGGAGCGAACAGG